rnacentral:misc_RNA from 1 species
GAUGAAGAACGUAGCGAAAUGCGAUAAGUAAUGUGAAUUGCAGAAUUCAGUGAAUCAUCGAAUCUUUGAACGCACAUUGCGCCCGCCAGUAUUCUGGCGGGCAUGCCUGUUCGAGCGUCAUUACAACCCUCAGGCCCCCGGGCCUGGCGUUGGGGAUCGGCGGAAGCCCCCUGUGGGCACACGCCGUCCCUCAAAUACAGUGGCGGUCCCGCCGCAGCUUCCAUUGCGUAGUAGCUAACAUCUCGCAACUGGAGAGCGGCGCGGCCAUGCCGUAAAACACCCAACUUCUGAAUGUUGACCUCGAAUCAGGUAGGAAUACCCGCUGAACUUAAGCAUAUCAAUAAGCGGAGGA